rnacentral:tRNA from 1 species
GGGGUGGUGGCGCAGAUGGCUAGCGCGUAGGUCUCAUAAUCCUGAGGUCGAGAGUUCGAGCCUCUCUCACCCCA